rnacentral:tRNA from 1 species
GGAAAUGAGGCGAGUGGAAGCAAGCUCGGUGCUAACGAGUCACCGCGAUGCGGUAGCAGGUUCGAAUCCUGUCAUUUCCGCCA